CCUACGGGCGGCAGCAGUGGGGAAUAUUGGACAAUGGGGGGAACCCUGAUCCAGCCAUGCCGCGUGUGUGAAGAAGGCCCUCGGGUUGUAAAGCACUUUCAGUGAGGAAGAACGCCUGGUGGUUAAUACCCAUCAGGAAAGACAUCACUCACAGAAGAAGCACCGACUAACUCCGUGCCAGCAGCCGCGGUAAUACGGAGGGUGCGAGCGUUAAUCGGAAUUACUGGGCGUAAAGCGCGCGUAGGUGGCUUGAUAAGCCGGUUGUGAAAGCCCCGGGCUCAACCUGGGAACGGCAUCCGGAACUGUCAAGCUAGAGUGCAGGAGAGGAAGGUAGAAUUCCCGGUGUAGCGGUGAAAUGCGUAGAGAUCGGGAGGAAUACCAGUGGCGAAGGCGGCCUUCUGGACUGACACUGACACUGAGGUGCGAAAGCGUGGGUAGCAAACAGGAUUAGAUACCCUGGUAGUC
rnacentral:rRNA from 1 species